CCAGUCUAGUAUUGCAAUUGCAGGGGAAACCCCGAUCCCCGUCAAAGGCGUUGUUCCUGGACUGGGCCUUUUUAUUUCCGUUUGUAACCCAGACGUAUCUGGACGUCAAUUUUUUUCCUUCGAUUUUGUUGUUGUAUCCAGCCAAAAGGACGGUCCUGCAGCAGAUAUGGACAACAAGAAAUCACUGCUAUGGAUGUGUGUGUUAUUGCUGACCUGUCCAAAGAUGGCUGGGGGUGGUCCGAUUUGUUAUGUCUCUUGUAUGAGUGUGAUUGGCAUUGGGGGUGUGACACUAGGUGCUGCUGUUCUCCCUCUACUGGGCUUCACAUCAUCUGGAAUUGCAGCAGGAUCUUGGGCAGCUUGGAUAAUGUCCUGGUAUGGUGGUGCGGUGCCUGCUGGCAGCUUGUUUGCAAUCUUGCAGUCAGCUGGAGCGAGUGGGGGCUUUUCAUUGUCAUGGGCUUCAUUUGGAGGAAUAUCGGGCUUUUGUACUGCUCUCUGUGCCCCUUUUCCAUAGUUUCAACAAGAGAAAACACAGGGAAGGCCCUAUCAGUUAGUUUUUACCACACCAAAAAAGGCACCCACUUAUCCUGACAAACUCAGCUCAUUUUGAAAUAGGCACACAUGGGUAUAAUUGAAGUUACUUUGAAAACAUCAUUUAGCUAUAUUUAAAGGGAAAAAUGCACUAAAAAUCUCAUGCAAUUCAACCAGUGCUCCAUAUUCAAACAAAUUGAGAAACAGUUUAGAGACUGAGAACAUUUUAAGAAUGAAGAAAUAAUCUUCAGCAGUUUUUCUUGCAGACAUUUUUGCUGCAGUGCUUCUUCUUCUUGUAUGUUUUAUUUCAGAUAGUAUUCAUUCACAUUUGUUUUGCGCUUAUGAUUUGCAUCGUCUGUGUGGAAGUUUUGUGCCUGUAGAAUAUUCUCUACCUGUACUGAAUAUUCAAUAUUUAGCAUUCAAUAUUUGAAACUUUGCUGAUGCGAACUUUGAACAAUGGUUUUACAGGUUAUGGUUGUUAUGGCUUUAUCACAGAAUGAAGAUAUUAAUGAAAUAUUAAGUGCUUGACAGUGCAAUUACUUUAUCCCAAACAAAUUAGUUAAUGGGGUAUUUUAAACAGCCUUGUUUAACCUUUGAACAUUUUCUACCGAUCGCAUUUUGCAGUACUGUUGUGGUCAGCUGAGUGGAGUAGGUACAGCUUCAGACUUUGUAAGAGCUGUCACAAGCAGACUUUGGUAUGUGUCUAAAUUUACUGUCUUGAUCGCAUUUAAUUGAGAGACAUCUCAAGGAGUCUAUGUCUCAAAUAGCCAAGAGAUUACUUACAUUAAAAAGAAAUUCUCUAUCAGAAAUGUAUCAAUUCUUACAUGUUCAGUCUCAAGUAAAUCACAAGUCAGUACAUUGGUCUGGUCACAAGUGACAGAAAAUGAACCAAAACAAAGGACUACCUUUGUCACAUUUCACUUGAAUAGCUUGCGACGACUUGACUCAAGACUAGGCAACUUAUGAUGUACUUGUGAUGGACAUGUGAAGAUAUGGGAGUACAGGGAUUUGAUACAAAACUGAGUAUGCUCCGACACCUCAACCCGAUUCAUUAUUUAAUGCUUCAUUUGACAAUUAUUGUAUUCAACGCUCAGAAACAUUUUGGAUUUCUCACUGACCCAGUACUCUAACUAUUUUCAGCUUUUAUUUAAAUCAAAGAAGCCCAUAUUGUAGAGGCAAUUUUUGAGAAGUUACCAAAACCCAUUAAAAUUGUCCUGGCAGGUACAAGUGACAACCUAGUUCACAAGUAACAGGGUAAAAAAAUCAAAGGAAUGUAUUUGCCAAAGUUCAUUUGAAAAAUAAGUGUUAGCACUUUCCUUAUGAAAAGAUGAAAUUCAGAUUAUUUUAGAGUUCUACACAUCUUUUAAAUACAUUAAGGAAGAUCUUCUGAUCUUCUGUGCAGUAAAUGGUAAUUUCUUAGCAUUAUGCCGGGAACCUCCAUAAAUCAUUGCACUGUAAGCGUAAAUGAUGUCCUCAACAAUUAUAAUCUGGACUCUUGUCUUGGCUAAACAAUGCAAGGUAUUUCAAAAUCAUUCAGAGUUGUUAGAUUUUGAAGGGUUUGGGAUUGUCAGAGUUUAUUGUUUUGCCCACAUUAUAAUAAACUUGAUAAAGAAAUCGGGAAGUUGACAACUGUAUAACAUUACAAUCUGGAUAUGUAAAUCACAAAUGGUUUAUGUGGAAAUACCCAGAUCUUGGAAACAACUAGGAAACUUUCUCUCGUUUGAUUUGAAUACUAAAUAACUUCCAGAUAACCAACAACCUUUGACAUAUACACAGAAAUAAAUCUAUCAGGUAUAAAAAUAGUAGAUAAA